rnacentral:rRNA from 1 species
ACUCAAAUGAAUAGACGGGGACCCGCACAAGCAGUGGAGCGCCUGGUUUAAUUCGAUGAUCAGCGAAGAACCUCACCUGGGCUUGAACUGUAGCUGCAAACCUCCAGAAACGGAGGCUCCUUCGAGGGUGCUAUAGAGGUGGUGCAUGGCUGUCGUCAGCUCGUGUCGUGAGAUGUAGGGUUAAGUCCCACAACGAGCGCAACCCCUAUCCGAUGUUACAAUUACUUCGGAGACUGCCCCGCUAUAACGGGGAGGAAGGAGGGGACGACGUCCAGUCAUCAUGUCCCUUAUGUCCAGGGCUACACAGACGCUACAAUGGCUAUUACAACGGGCUGCCAAACCGCAAGGUGGAGCUAAUCCCAUCAAAAAUAGUCUCAGUUCAGAUUGCAGGCUGCAACUCGCCUGCAUGAAGUUGGAAUUGCUAGUAAUCGCAUAUCAGCAUGGUGCGGUGAAUACGUUCUCGGGUCUUGUACACACCGCCCGU